rnacentral:tRNA from 1 species
GGGGAUUUAGCUCAGUGGUUCCAGUGCCUGCCUUGCAAGCACAAGGUCCCAAGUUCAAUCCCUGGUAACCCCC